CAUGCAAGUCGAGGGGCAGCGGGAUUGAAGCUUGCUUCAAUUGCCGGCGACCGGCGCACGGGUGAGUAACGCGUAUCCAACCUUCCGUACACUCAGGGAUAGCCUUUCGAAAGAAAGAUUAAUACCUGAUGGUAUGAUGAGAUUGCAUGAUAGCAUCAUUAAAGAUUUAUCGGUGUGCGAUGGGGAUGCGUUCCAUUAGGUAGUAGGCGGGGUAACGGCCCACCUAGCCAACGAUGGAUAGGGGUUCUGAGAGGAAGGUCCCCCACAUUGGAACUGAGACACGGUCCAAACUCCUACGGGAGGCAGCAGUGAGGAAUAUUGGUCAAUGGACGAGAGUCUGAACCAGCCAAGUAGCGUGAAGGAUGAAGGUCUUACGGAUUGUAAACUUCUUUUAUAAGGGAAUAAAACCUCCCACGUGUGGGAGCUUGUAUGUACCUUAUGAAUAAGCAUCGGCUAACUCCGUGCCAGCAGCCGCGGUAACACGGAGGAUGCGAGCGUUAUCCGGAUUUAUUGGGUUUAAAGGGAGCGCAGACGGGUCGUUAAGUCAGCUGUGAAAGUUUGGGGCUCAACCUUAAAAUUGCAGUUGAUACUGGCGUCCUUGAGUGCGGUUGAGGUGUGCGGAAUUCGUGGUGUAGCGGUGAAAUGCUUAGAUAUCACGAAGAACUCCGAUUGCGAAGGCAGCACACUAAGCCGUAACUGACGUUCAUGCUCGAAAGUGUGGGUAUCAAACAGGAUUAGAUACCCUGGUAGUCCACACGGUAAACGAUGGAUACUCGCUGUUGGCGAUAUACGGUCAGCGGCUUAGCGAAAGCGUUAAGUAUCCCACCUGGGGAGUACGCCGGCAACGGUGAAACUCAAAGGAAUUGACGGGGGCCCGCACAAGCGGAGGAACAUGUGGUUUAAUUCGAUGAUACGCGAGGAACC
rnacentral:rRNA from 1 species